rnacentral:misc_RNA from 1 species
GAUGAAGAACGCAGCGAAAUGCGAUAACUAAUGUGAAUUGCAGAAUUCAGUGAAUCAUCGAGUCUUUGAACGCACAUUGCGCCCCCUGGUAUUCCGGGGGGCAUGCCUGUCCGAGCGUCAUUGCUGCCCUCAAGCACGGCUUGUGUGUUGGGCUCCGUCCCCCCGGGGACGGGCCCGAAAGGCAGCGGCGGCACCGAGUCCGGUCCUCGAGCGUAUGGGGCUUUGUCACCCGCUCUGUAGGCCCGGCCGGCGCCAGCCGACAACCCAUCAUCCUUUUCAGGUUGAACUCGGAUCAGGUAGGGAUACCCGCUGAACUUAAGCAUAUCAAUAAGCGGAGGA